rnacentral:rRNA from 1 species
UCGAGGAUCUUUGGCAAUGGGCGCAAGCCUGACCAAGCGACGCCGCGUGUGCGAUGAAGGCCUUCGGGUUGUAAAGCACUGUCGAGGGGGAGGAAGCCGCAAGGUUGACCUAUCCCUGGAGGAAGCACGGGCUAAGUUCGUGCCAGCAGCCGCGGUAAGACGAACCGUGCGAACGUUGUUCGGAAUCACUGGGCUUAAAGGGCGCGUAGGCGGGCCGGAUAGUCUGUGGUGAAAGCCUCCAGCUUAACUGGAGAAGUGCCAUGGAUACUGCCGGUCUGGAGGAGGGUAGGGGCAUCUGGAACGCUGGGUGGAGCGGUGAAAUGCGUUGAUAUCCAGCGGAACUCCGGUGGCGAAGGCGAGGUGCUGGACCCUUUCUGACGCUGAGGCGCGAAAGCCAGGGGAGCAAACGG